CCUUGCCCGGCCUACCUCCCCUCCCGCCGCCGCGCUCCGCCCGGCCCAGCCGAGGGCCCGCCCCUUCGCGCCCCAGCCAGCUCCACCGUACGGGUUGUGCCCGCCCCUCCCAGACCCCGAUCACCCGCAGCUACGAGAGUUGCCGCCGCCAGUGUGUGCCGGGCGACGUCGCCCACGCCCCUGCCAGCCAUCCUCACAGCAGCAGCAGCCCUGGUAGAAAUUGAUGUGGGCACCCUCUCGACCCGCCCCUGUACUUGUCUUUGUCCCAGCUCUGCGGACUGAGCCUACCUCUCUUCCUUGGGGUAUUAAUGCUACCUAUUGUCUCUCUUGAAUCUUUUCCCUCCAAAACUGCACAGAAGGAGCCAUUUAACACCCAGGGAAACUGAGGCUUAGAGUGCUGCAAUGCUUGCCCAAGAUCCCACAGCCAGAUGGGUAAAUCUAGGAUUCACACCGAGAUCUUUGGAAAACCAAAAGACUUUUCCUCUGCUUUUCAGCCUCCAGAAUUCUCUGAAUUGCUUAAGUCUCUGGCCUCAAAUGCCCCAAGAUCCUCCUUGGGAGACCUCUCUGACAGGGAGCUUGGGGGAGAGCAGAGGGGCAUUGACUUAACUCUGCUGGAGGGAUCUUCUGAGGAAGAAACUUCUCCUUCUGCAUCCAGGCUGUGCUGGGCCCUGGACUCAGAGGAGAGGUGGUCCCAUGCCAUUGGAUUGCAUCUAUGACUUCGGGAGGUAGGGCGAAGACUGGUCCCCCAGACACCACAGAGCUUCCCAUCUUCUUUUGCCAGAUUUUAUCAGAAUUUGCUAAGGUGGUCUCAGAACCACAUUUCUUGUGGAGGGGUUUCAGCCCUGCUUAUAUAAAUUUGAUAUAAUCCACAGACCAUACAAUUCACCCAUUUAAAGUGUACAAUUUAAUAGUUUUUAGUACAUUCACAGAUAUGUGAAACUGUCACAAUCAAUUUUAGAAUAUUUUUAUCACCUCAGAAAGGAACUCUCUACACCUAGUCUAUCAAUGCUCUACCCAC
rnacentral:lncRNA from 1 species